GACGAACGCUGGCGGCGUGCCUAAUACAUGCAAGUAGAACGCACAGUUUAUACCGUAGCUUGCUACACCAUAGACUGUGAGUUGCGAACGGGGGAGUAACGCGUAGGUAACCUGCCUGGUGGCGGGGGAUAACUAUUGGAAACGCUAGCUAAUACCGCAUAAUAUUAAUUAUUGCAUGAUAAUUAAUUGAAAGGUGCAAUUGCACCACUACCAGAUGGACCUGCGUUGUAUUAGCUAGUAGGUGAGGUAACGGCUCACCUAGGCGACGAUACAUAGCCGACCGGCGAGGGUGAUCGGCCGCACUGGGACUGAGACACGGCCCAGACUCCUACGGGAGGCAGCAGUAGUGAAUCUUCGGCAAUGGACGAAAGUCUGACCGAGCAACGCCGCGUGAGUGAAGAAGGUUUUCGGAUCGUAAAGCUCUGUUGUAAGAGAAGAACGGGUGUGAGAGUGGAAAGUUCACACUGUGACGGUAUCUUACCAGAAAGGGACGGCUAACUACGUG
rnacentral:rRNA from 1 species